CUGUUUUACAGAUUGGUUUUUUGCCUUUUUGUGGUAUCUUUCGUUUCAUCUGUUAAGAUAGCCACAACCAGUGACUUAAACCUCUAAUAUCUUGAGUCAAGAUUCCUUCUUAAAGUGAAAAUUUUCGUUUAUUCUGCUGCUGCAAUGAUUGGCCAUCUAUAUAUUUGGCUCUGGCUUACAGGUGGCAUUUCUUUUCCCUUUUCUGUAGGAUAGAACUUUUCACUGUAAGCUGCUAACUUAGCAGUAACCUACUAUUCAAUUUACAUGUUGUGACUACAGAUGACAAGGUUUGUAUUUUCUACUCAGGUGGUUGGAUAUUAGUUAUGAAGGUUGUCCAUGGAUUUUUGCUCUAUCGAGGACUGCAUGAGCUUGGUCAAUAUGCAUUCUUGGAAAUUCUCUGGGAGCCAGCCAUAAAGAAGGAAUUCCUAUUGUAUCUUGUGGCAUUCUUAGUCAGGUACUAAAUAUAACCAGAUGAACUGUUUUUCCAAACGACCGAGUGCUAAUUACACGAGUUCAAAGAUUAAGCUGAGUCCGAUCUAUUUUUCUGUCAAUUUAGUUUGAAGAAUUUGUUAUUGCCAUCAGAAGGUGUACUACUUGACCAUGCAGGAUACAAGGUGUCACGAUGAUUUGAUGAGGUAAGGUAAUCGUUGAGUCAUGUUGUCAAAUGCUAAUGGAUGGAAUUUCUAAUGUAUGGCUGGAACAACAAGUCGGUGAUGAUAUUGCGACGUCUUAUUUGAGAACUGUAGACAUGGUUUGCCACGCUGGACCUUGUGAAGAUUAUGUCUGUUCUUUGUUUAAGACUAAUUGUACACAUUCAUGUUGCAAAUAUUUCUUCGGUUUCUGUUCUCGGGUAUAGUAAUGCAGAAAUGGCUAAAUUUUACAAAUUGUAGUACUUGUGAGCAAGCAUUCAGUUCAAAAGCUGCCUAACAUGCUGGUAACUUGCUAAAUUAGGCAUAUAAUAUUAUAAUUUUAGUUUCAUCUGAGAACUUCUCUUUAAGACAAUGGCAGUGAACAUUUGUUUCCGACAAUGACAGUGGAUAUCGUAUAUUUUGCUCUCUAAAAAUGAACUAUUGUGGUGUUGUUCACCUAUCAAUGUGCCAUGUUUUCUAUCUAAGAAUAUGCCACAUUUGCUAAAUAAACCAGCUCAUUAAAGUGAUGGACAACUAAAUACUUUUUAUAGAGCUAAAAUAAUAUAUAGGCAACCAAACAACCUUCCCUUUCAAAAAAAAGCCAAGCAAACAUUUGGGUAACUUCCUGGCGCGGUGGAGCGCCCUUGCCCACUAGUACAUAUUGUGAACCCUCAACUCAUACAAUUUUGAAGAAAACAUGAACUGGAUAUAUGGUGCAUUUUCUUCAAAGUAUGGUAUAUUUAGUUGGAAAGAAUGACAUUUUGUGAAGGAAGAAACUGCCUUAAAUCCCUUAUGAUAAGCAUGCGGUUGAUCUAGGUGCAACUCAUAUGCACCAGAAUACUUGGCUAUAGCAUGUUUUGUUAGAUCCAUUCUUAAGAAAACGCAUUAUUCUUGAAAGGCGGCACGCUCACUGCAGCUUGACCACGUCAUCCCUGCCAAUGCCGAUUAGCUCAGCCUUGGUGGCGGCGGGCUCCUGGACCACCUCAAGCAGGCGCCUGCGGCGGCGGCCGACAUGUGAGGUAUGCUCUUUGGUACUAACUCUUCAUUCUCGACAUCUGGUUGUGUCUGUUCCUCAUAGUCUCCAAAUACCGGUGCGAAAAGGCUUUCUUCUAGAUCUGCUCAUUAUGGUUCUCCAAAUACAAUACAUUCAAUGAUAUUGUAGUUUUUGUGGGCUUGUUCUUUAUAAGAAAAUAAUUGUACACAUAGCACUAUGUUAGAAGCAGGUCUACGAAGGCAUGGCUUCAAAAUUCCAUAUACAUGUUUUGUUCCUUUUCCUUUCCAUAUCUAUGGUUUUCAUACUAAUUUAUGUUUUCCCCUCAAGGGAUGUGUAUUUGAGAGAGGGUUAUGGAAAAGAAGGGGCUGGACUAAGAGGAAGGAGUGGAAUCACAUGAUGUGCAUUGCAUUUCUGUCUAUGCAAUCCAGUUAUAUACUGAUAAGGCUUUAUACAAUAAUAAGCUCCCUAUCUGUUGAACGUCACAAUUAGUACAGAGGCACAAGUCAUUUCUGACAAUUGAAGAUCAAACAAACAAUACUGCAGAAUUAUGCCAAUAUAAGUUUUUGAUGUACAUUGAGCUUGUCAGUUUUGCUGUCACCUUUAAUUUUGGAGACAUGGCUAACUAUUUUCUCCACUAUUUGGCAUCUUCCCAUGUUCAUCUUGACAGUCUGGUUUUCUAUGAUCUUGUUUUCUAUUUGCAGGGGCAAAUUAUAUUUCAAUGAUACAAAUGGCUGAUGUUAGUUUUGGUAUAUAUGUGGUCAAGAAGGUUGUCAAGUAGUGAUGGCCUCAGAUUUGUUAUGGGGCAGUUUUUUUUAAUAGAGCGCUUCUUGCGCACAAGCACUGGAACCAUCGGUCUAUGACAUACAUGAUUCUCUAUAACUUCUACCAGAAUGCUUUCUUUGUGUUAAUGCUCUUCUGGUACGUAUUCCCUCCUCUGUGUGUUUCUCAUAUGAUGUAAGCUCAGUAUAUCUGUGUUACCUUUGUUACCUGUCACCUACAAUUUGACUAUCCAAAUGUAUGAAUAUACGGAAGCAUCAUUCCACACUCCCUUUUGUCCUUUUUGGACCUCUUGUAAUGUACACUGGUCUAAUUAAGUUCUUAAUGAAUUGAUUUAGGCACACUACAUAUUCUGUAACUCUUGUGCUGAUAGAUUAGAGUACUGCUUUCUAUUCCAUUAUCUGCACAUCAGUUCCCACAGUAGUGAUAUUCUAGAGGACUUACUCAUAAUAGUCAUAAUACCCUUCUUUAUUGUCUAAGACUAUUGAGGCAAAGCUUCAAAAUGAGGGCUACAACCUGACACUCUUCUGAAACAUAAUGGUAGAUACCUUGUAACAAAGCCUUGUCCUUUCCUAUGUACAUUUCUUCACAUAUAAUAUCAGUUCUGUUUCAUGUAGCAGUCUUCUUUGUUAGUAAUGUUCCAUGUUUCUGUUUACAUGUACGUUCAUUAAUUUUCCCGUUUGAACCCCCUUAAUUAGUAAGGUGAGCUCACAAGCUUGGGUCCUAAACCACAAGAGCUCGAGAAAGUCGUCAUACAUUCCUUCUGCAGGACACUAGCAACCUCGGAUACAAGUACCCGUGGUGGUUUCUCUGUUCUUAGGAGACAUGCUGAAGACUGUCUUCCUCGGACGAAUCCACAUAGAACCGGGUGGCAUUUUCCUCACAUUUCAUGGUGAUUUUAAUUUGAGCAUUCAGCUUGAAUACCCUUUAAACUUUCUGUCGUUGUGCUCUUAUUGUUUUGGUGUAGCACUUCAUGUCACAACUGAAUGUUGAAUUCUUACCACUGUAGAAACUUCAACAUAUACUGAUUCAUUAGAUAAUGAAUAUGUGUGAGCUCUCUU